rnacentral:tRNA from 1 species
CGGGCAAAACACACGGAAAGCAGCGGACUUUUAAUCCGCGGGUUCAGGGUUCGAUCCCCUGGGGCCCUACCA